GCCAGGACAGGGGUCAGAAAAAUGAAGGUUAGAAGCAAGAGGACUCUGACCUUUACUGAUGGUGCGAAGCAAAAAUUUUGAAUAACCAGCCAUGGAAACACAAGAGAGGAAAUUGAGAAGAGGCAGAAAGGGUCAGAUAGAAGCUAGUAGAAUCUAGCCUGCCUGCCCUCCCUCCCUCCCUUAUUCUCUCCCUCUCUCCCUCCUUCUUUCCCUCCCUUCUUCCCAAAAUAAGUAAGCAUUUGCUUGGUCUCACUGGUAGUCCUCAGUGGAACACAUACAGCGAAGAGCACAGCACUUCACCCUGAGAAAUGUCCUCUCUUAGGAAAGACAAUUGGGUCUGACCUUACCCUCUGCCCCCCACCCAACCAAUAUGGACAUUCCAGGAAAGCUUCUUGGAAGAAGUGCUAUCUGAGCUGUUCCUGGAAGAGCUAAACCUGGGGCUGCACGGUGGGAGCAGGAUAAACAUUUCCAGCAAGCUGUAUCAGAGAAGGAAGUACCCUCUAUCUUAAAGGUGGAGGCUACCACCCAAGGGGCCGGCAAGGACAAGACUGGGAAGAAGAAGGUGAGAUUAGGGUGAGCUGGGACUGAUUAAAGAAGCAAGGUCAUGGGCUGAGAUCACCCUGCCUAAGAGAAACCAAAUUGUGAAGACAUCUGUUCUGUUAUUAAUUUCACAUAAAUCUUAAGCUCCUCAAGGCCAGAAAUGAGGCUUCAUUCACGUCGAAUUAAUGAAACAUGAUUGGAAAAUGGUUUCGUCUUUGCAAUCAACUGGUUAGCUGCUACCUGGCCUCAAGAUAGUGUGUGUGGAUGGAAUCCAACAGUCCCAACCAAAUACAAGGGAUAUUUAACUCUGGCAGUUAGCAUUAACCCAGACAAUGGAGCCA